ACUCAAAUGAAUAGACGGGGGCCCGCACAAGCGGUGGAGCAUGUUGUUUAAUACGUCACUAACCGUAGAACCUUACCAGGUCUUGACAUCUAUGGAACCCUGCGGAAACGUGGGGGUGCCCUUCGGGGAGCCAUAAGACAGGUGUUGCAUGGCUGUCGUCAGCUCGUGUCGUGAGAUGUUGGGUUAAGUCCCGCAACGAGCGCAACCCUCAUCCAGUGUUGCCAGCAGGUUAAGCUGGGCACUCUCUGGAAACUGCCCGUGCAAGCGGGAGGAAGGUGGGGAUGACGUCAAGUCAGCAUGGCCCUUACGACCUGGGCUACAAACAUGCUACAAUGGCGCGUACAAAGGGCAGCCAGCCAGCGAUGGUGAGCCAAUCCCAAAAAGCGCGUCUCAGUUCGGAUUGGAGUCUGCAACUCGACUCCAUGAAGUCGGAAUCGCUAGUAACCGCAGGUCAGCUAUACUGCGGUGAAUACGUUCCCGGGCCUUGCACACACCGCCCGU
rnacentral:rRNA from 1 species